rnacentral:ncRNA from 1 species
AUCCUCUGUAGCCCGGGGAAUUGGCCUCGGGGUAUCCACGACCCGACCUCAAUCGGGUGAGGCCAGAGGGG